rnacentral:rRNA from 2 species
AGGACGUUGAUAGGCUGGGUGUGGAAGUGCAGUAAUGCAUUAAGCUAACCAGUACUAAUUGCCCGUACGGCUUGUCCCUAUAACUUUGGUCAGUUAUA